CUGCGGUGAAUACGUUCCCGGACCUUGCACACACCGCCCGUCAAGCCAUGGAAACUGGGUGUACCUAAAGUCGGUAACCGUAAGGAGCCGCCUAGGGUAAACUAGUAACUGGGGCU
rnacentral:rRNA from 1 species